rnacentral:misc_RNA from 1 species
GGCCCACAUAGGCAUGCAAAAGAGUCCGGACAAAAAGAUAGGGAUAAAAGGUCCGUUGGAGCGUAAAGGGGUUAUCGGCGUGCAGUUACAGGUGUCGGUUUCCUGGACUAAAGACAUAUCCUCAUUUUGUUACCGGUAACCGGAUAGUAUAAAAAGUAAUAUUUAUAUAUAUUUUUAUAUCUAUUUGGGGAAAAAUAUCGAGAGUGGGUUUGGGUGCUUUGCUUGGCGGGUUUGAAAAGCCAAAAAGGGCGUCGAGGAAAAACGUUUUUGAUUCGACUCCAAGACAACACCGGACGCCGAAAGAGAUGCUUAUGCUUUGCCAAAGCGGACAGAGGUUCUACUGUGUGCUUUCGGAGCUUUCUCUGAGACUCAUUUUUCA